rnacentral:rRNA from 1 species
UACGUAGGGGGCAAGCGUUGUCCGGAAUUAUUGGGCGUAAAGGGCGCGUAGGCGGAUCGUUAAGUCCGGUGUGAAAGAUCAGGGCUCAACCCUGAGAGUGCAUCGAAAACUGGAGAUCUUGAGGACAGGAGAGGAAAGUGGAAUUCCUAGUGUAGCGGUGAAAUGCUUAGAUAUUAGGAGGAACACCAGUGGCGAAGGCGACUUUCUGGACUGUAACUGACGCUGAGGCGCGAAAGCGUGGGGAGCAAACAGG